rnacentral:tRNA from 1 species
GGGGGCAUAGCUCAGUUGGGAGAGCAACAGACUGAAGUUAGGCGUGAUUGCAUAUAUUUCUGGAGGUCCCCAGUUCAAUCCUGGGUGCCCCCA